UACGGGGGGGUAAGCGUUGUUCGGAAUUACUGGGCGUAAAGGGCUCGUAGGCGGCCAACUAAGUCGAACGUGAAAUCCCCGAGCUCAACUCGGGAACUGCGUCCGAUACUGGCGGGCUUGAAUCCGGGAGAGGGAUGCGGAAUUCCAGGUGUAGCGGUGAAAUGCGUAGAUAUCUGGAGGAACACCGGUGGCGAAGGCGGCAUCCUGGACCGGCAUUGACGCUGAGGCGCGAAAGCUAGGGGAGCAAACGGGG
rnacentral:rRNA from 1 species